GACGAACGCUGGCGGCGUGCUUAACACAUGCAAGUGGAGCGACGAACCGGGCUUCGGCCCGGGGCAAAGCCGCGAACGGGUGAGUAACACGUGGGUAACCUGCCCCGAUGACCGGGACAACCCGAGGAAACUCGAGCUAAUACCGGAUGUGCCCAUGCCACUCAAGUGGCAUGAGGAAAGGAAGCUUCGGCCUCCGCAUC
rnacentral:rRNA from 1 species